rnacentral:rRNA from 1 species
GAAGAACGCUGGCGGCGUGCCUAAUACAUGCAAGUAGAACGCAGUCGCGAACGGGUGAGUAACGCGUAGGUAACUGCCUCAUAGCGGGGGACAACUAUUGGAUACGAUAGCUCAUACCGCAUACUGUGAGAUGGACCUGCGUUGUAUUAGCUAGUUGGUGCGGUAACGGGUCACACAGGCGCCGAUACAUAGCCGACCUGAGAGGGGGAUAGGCCAGCCGGGGACGGGGAGACGACCCAGACGCGGACGGGAGGCAGCAGUAGGGAAUAGUCGGAAAUGGGGGGAAGUCUGACCGGGCAACGUCGCGGGAGGGAAGAAGGUUAUCGAAUCGUAAAGCUCUGUUGUUAGAGAAGCGGUAACUAUCCAGAAAGGGACGGCUAACUACGUGCCAGCAGCCGCGGUAAUAC